GGGAAGAAAAAAAUCGUAACAAGGUUUCCGUAGGUGAACCUGCGGAAGGAUCAUUACAGUAUUCUUUUGCCAGCGCUUAACUGCGCGGCGAAAAACCUUACACACAGUGUCUUUUUGAUACAGAACUCUUGCUUUGGUUUGGCCUAGAGAUAGGUUGGGCCAGAGGUUUAACAAAACACAAUUUAAUUAUUUUUACAGUUAGUCAAAUUUUGAAUUAAUCUUCAAAACUUUCAACAACGGAUCUCUUGGUUCUCGCAUCGAUGAAGAACGCAGCGAAAUGCGAUAAGUAAUAUGAAUUGCAGAUUUUCGUGAAUCAUCGAAUCUUUGAACGCACAUUGCGCCCUCUGGUAUUCCAGAGGGCAUGCCUGUUUGAGCGUCAUUUCUCUCUCAAACCCCCGGGUUUGGUAUUGAGUGAUACUCUUAGUCGGACUAGGCGUUUGCUUGAAAAGUAUUGGCAUGGGUAGUACUAGAUAGUGCUGUCGACCUCUCAAUGUAUUAGGUUUAUCCAACUCGUUGAAUGGUGUGGCGGGAUAUUUCUGGUAUUGUUGGCCCGGCCUUACAACAACCAAACAAGUUUGACCUCAAAUCAGGUAGGAAUACCCGCUGAACUUAAGCAUAUCAAAAAGCCGGAGGAAGCAU
rnacentral:rRNA from 1 species